rnacentral:rRNA from 1 species
AUUGAACGCUGGCGGCGUGCUUAACACAUACAAGUCGAGCGGAAAGGCCACUUCGGUGGUACUCGAGCGGCGAACGGGUGAGUAACACGUGAGUAAUCUGCCCCUGGCUUUGGGAUAGCCACCGGAAACGGUGAUUAAUACCGGAUACGACCACUUCUCGCAUGGGAUGGUGGUGGAAAGUUUUUUCGGCCAGGGAUGUGCUCGCGGCCUAUCAGCUUGAUGGUGAGGUAAUGGCUCACCAUGGCUUCGACGGGUAGCCGGCCUGAGAGGGUGACCGGUCACACUGGGACUGAGACACGGCCCAGACUCCUACGGGAGGCAGCAGUGGGGAAUAUUGGACAAUGGGCGGAAGCCUGAUCCAGCAACGCCGCGUGAGGGAUGACGGCCUUCGGGUUGUAAACCUCUUUCAGCAGGGACGAAGCGCAAGUGACGGUACCUGCAGAAGAAGCACCGGCCAACUACGUGCCAGCCGCCGCCGUAA